CACGUAGGGCGCGAGCGUUGUCCGGAAUUAUUGGGCGUAAAGAGCUCGUAGGCGGCCUGUUGCGUCCGCUGUGAAAGCCCGGGGCUUAACCCCGGGUCGGCAGUGGAUACGGGCAGGCUAGAGGUAGGUAGGGGAGAAUGGAAUUCCCGGUGUAGCGGUGAAAUGCGCAGAUAUCGGGAGGAACACCGGUGGCGAAGGCGGUUCUCUGGGCCGAAACUGACGCUGAGGAGCGAAAGCGUGGGGAGCAAACAGG
rnacentral:rRNA from 1 species